CGUGAGGGUUUACUGUGGCAAUGUACAUAAAUGAGGAUUGAGGGUUAGGUUUAGGAACAUUAAAUUCCAAAGAAACAUUAAGCAGGGGUAUUCUUCAGAAGACUCUGAGUUUUAUUGAAAUUUCAAUAAAGAAGACUGUCUUGUGUGUGCUAAGGAUCUAGGUAUUAGUGUAGUUUUAGUUAUUGUGUUUAAGUUAAGUUUGAAGAGGUAUCACGUAAAAUGUCAACAAAAAACAACCAAAAAGUAAACGUUCACUUAGACGCAUAGUGACCAAAAAAACUGAAACAGAACUUUUGCUGACUUCAGAUGACACUCUAUGACCCUAUCCUGAGUUAUAAUUGAUGCAGUGAGAUGUAAUAAAAGAACCUCAAAUGCGUGUGAUAAUGUAUAAAAUAUGUUGCAUUAUGUGAUUUUUAUUGAAUAAAUUUUAUAAGCAUA